rnacentral:rRNA from 1 species
GAUGAACGCUGGCGGCGUGCCUAGUACAUGCAAGUCGAGCGAACAGACGAGGAGCUUGCUCCUCUGACGUUAGCGGCGGACGGGUGAGUAACACGUGGAUAACCUACCUAUAAGACUGGGAUAACUUCGGGAAACCGGAGCUAAUACCGGAUAAUAUAUUGAACCGCAUGGUUCAAUAGUGAAAGACGGUUUUGCUGUCACUUAUAGAUGGAUCCGCGCCGCAUUAGCUAGUUGGUAAGGUAACGGCUUACCAAGGCAACGAUGCGUAGCCGACCUGAGGGGGUGAUCGGCCACACUGGAACUGAGACACGGUCCAGACUCCUACGGGAGGCAGCAGUAGGGAAUCUUCCGCAAUGGGCGAAAGCUUGACGGAGCAACGCCGCGUGAGUGAUGAAGGUCUUCGGAUCGUAAAACUCUGUUAUUAGGGAAGAACAAAUGUGUAAGUAACUAUGCGCGUCUUGACGGUACCUAAUCAGAAAGCCACGGCUAACUACGUG